CGCUCGGGCUCGGCCCGCCGGGCCCGCCGCUGUCAUUGGCCAUGGCGGCGGCGGCGGCGGCGGCAGCGGCGGCGGCGGCGGCGGCGGC
rnacentral:miRNA from 1 species